UUAUAUCUCAUAUCCCCAGCUUGAAUAGGGAGGGAAUUCUGGACAUGGAAAUCACCUUCACAUUAGGCUGCUGUGGCUCCGUUUUGUAAGCAGCAGAUGCUGAUGGCUGAGCACAAACAAAAUGUGCCUCCAUACGGGCUGUUUCACCUUUACAUAAGAUGCCUUCCCAAACUAAUCCCAGAAACUUCCCUUUUCUGCAGGAUUCAAAGGCAAAUCCAAGCCCAACCUUCUGAAGCAGGAGACCAGCAGCCUGGCCUGUGGGCUGCGCAUUCUCUUCCGGAUGUACAUGGAUGAGAGCCGCAUUAGUGCCUGGGAGGAGGUCCAGCAGAGGCUUUUGAAUGUCUGCAGUGAAGCACUAAGUUACUUCCUCACUCUAACAUCAGAAAGUCAUCGAGAAGCCUGGACUAACUUACUGCUUUUGUUUCUAACUAAAGUUCUAAAGAUAAGUGAUAAUAGGGUAAGUAUGAGGCUUCGAAUCCAGCCCCACAUUUCUAGCCCAAUUCGCAUUGGGAUGCGGGGUCCCAGAGCCGCCGUGCAAGAGCUCUCAGAGAUGAAUCAAGCAGUGCCCAGGCUGCACUGCUGCUUGUGCAAAGCCACCAGUGGCCUUGCUGUAUCUUCCUCAGUCCUUGCUUUUCUCCCCUCUUACCCAGCUUUGUUCACUAAUUAGCAGUUCUCUAGGGGAUUCAGUAGGUGAGGGAUCAGAAUCCCUUGGGAUACCUUGACAAGUUCCCAUUAUGACCCCAGGAAUCUCCCCCUUUGCCCCAUUUUGAAAACUGUUGUCCAACCACCUCAUGGCCUUGUACUCUGCCUACUACUCAAGACUACAUCUGGUUCCUGGGCCUGUGCUCUGGGCUGCAGCUGUUCCUUUGGCAUAUUUAGUGGUUCCAGGUAACCCAGAGUCCCUAGUGAAUGGGCCUCAUCUAAGAAUUUUAAACCAGUAGAAAUAAAGAUAAAAUACACAUAUAUGACUGUAAAUAUAAGUGCAUAUUUAAGGUUUUCAAAAAUGUACACUCUAUUCUUAGAAAAAAAAAAUAGCAACUUACAGCUCACACAUACAGGCUGCUUUGCUGUGACCCUAGAAUAGGUUUAAAAAUGCCUAGUGAUGUGGCCCACUACUUGAAAGGCCAAGGGCUCUAAAUCCCAGCCUCUGUUACUCCACAGCUGGCUUUUUUUUUUUUUUGGUCAUAAUAUGUCUCACUGCUUCCCUGGAUCUGGAGGGGCACAGAGGGGUAGGAAAGGAGGCUGCAGACUAGAGUUCAGAGAUAAAGGAACUACUGUGAAGAUACAGCCAAAGUAUAGCAAUUUAACUGUACAUGUGAAACGUAUGUAGCUUUGCCUGAAGAACUGUUUAGAUUUUAUAUUGCAGUGUUAGGUAGAAUUUUCCCCAAAACUUAAAAUUUUUAUGUAACAAAAGAUAAAAUUUCAGUAACCCAUAGCUUAUAAAAACUCAACUCUAGUUUGUACUCACUUGCCUGCUUAUUACCCAGGAAAAACAGUGCUAAAUUACUAAAAUUUGUCAAAGAUAUACAGGCAAAUGUUUUUCAAAAUAAGGAUAUGUAAGUGAAUAGUGUUUGUAUGAAGUGAGUUUUUCUAACACUUCUGUCUCUCAGUUCCACAACCCACAGAGUCACUGCCUGCUGUGGACCCUGCUUUCCUGGCUCCUGUGAUGGAGCCCCAGAGUAGUUUGACUCUAGGCAGUUUAAGGCUCUGCAGUUUGCAAUCACUACUAAUGGAGAAAUUCAUUUUCCCUGCAGUUUAAAGCUCAUGCAUCAUUCUACUACCCUCUCUUAUGUGAAAUUAUGCAAUUUGACUUGAUUCCUGAACUUCGUGCUGUUCUUAGAAGAUUUUUUCUGCGAAUCGGAGUAGUUUUUCAGAUAUCACAACCACCUGAACAGGAACUUGGAAUAAACAAGCAAUGAUGGGAACUUAAUAUUUUUGUUGGCAUUUACAUCCCUCUGCUCUUUAAAAGGACGCUGGAGCUGAGGUUUCCUACCUGAAAAAUGAUUUCUCUGGAUUGCAGUGUCUGAGAGUUACUGGUAAAGAUGCUUAGAAGUCUUACUCAAACUUGCAACACUCCAGUCCCUUUUAGUGCUGGCGGAUUUUGUGUGUUAUAUUGGCCUCAUGUUGAGCAGAAAGCCUGUUUAAACAGUGUCAGCUCAUGCUCACGGGUCCUUCCCUGUCUUCCACGGCAGGAAAAGCCCCACGUUUUUGGCAGGUGUGGAAGUGAAACUUACCCAAAGAACUAUAGAUGUAAAGAUUGAACUUCUACAAGAAGUACAACUCAGGAGAGCUGUAUUUUGAAGGAUAAAAUGUUUAUAAUUGGGGAGUGGGGAGAGAAGAAGAAAUUAUUGUUCAUGGUAAAAGAUAUUUAGCAACUAUGGUAUUCUUAUUCUGAAGAUUUUUGCACACUCAGGCUAUCUGAGAUACUGGUAAUCAUCCUGUGAAAAAUGUACAGAGAUGCAGGUCUGUAAUAUAAAAAUCUUAAAACAUUAUAUAGUUCUUCCUGCACUGUUUUCUUUAUUUUCUUAUUCAUUUGCUAAAUACCCGUAAUAUUUUGUCAAAUGCACUAAACAUUUGGGUGGAACUUUCUUUUUUAUUUUAUAGGGAUUUUUAGUUUUGCCCUUUUUGGUAGGUGGUGAUUUUGAGGCUGUAACAUGCCCAGAAGCUGUUGUGGCCGACACUUCAACAAUAGGGGAAAAAAGGUAGAAAAUAUCCCUACUGACAGUAACUACCUGUCACAUAUUUCUCUUAGGACUUUUAAAGAUGAGCCAUUAAAAUAGAAUGAUCCUUUAUGGACCAAAACUUGAAUCACUGCAAAAUGAAUCCAGAUUGCUGUCAUUUUCUUUUCUUUUGGGUGAUGGGGCUUGAUGUAGAUUUUACUCUAUGUACAGAAUUUAAUGUUGAAUAUAUUAAAAUAACAAAUCUGGCAUGGUUUGCGGAGGUUAGAUUUACUGGAAAUGUAUUCAUACUGUGAAUUGUGCUCUGAUGGUUAAAAGACAAGAUUGUCAAGCAUUCCGUAUUAACAGUGGAUGUAGAAAAUUUUUUCAGAUGGAUAAAAUGUAUAUGGUACAGAUGUAAAGUUUUCUAUGUAAAAAAUUCUGUACAACUUUCUGUACAAUAUUGAUUCCCAUCUGGCAUAUUCUAAUCAGGUUAUAGGUCAAUAAAGUUUUUGAAUUAUUUC
rnacentral:sRNA from 1 species